rnacentral:rRNA from 1 species
UACGAAGGGUGCAAGCGUUACUCGGAAUUACUGGGCGUAAAGCGUGCGUAGGUGGUUUGUUAAGUCUGUUGUGAAAGCCCCGGGCUCAACCUGGGAAUGGCAAUGGAUACUGGCAGGCUAGAGUGCGGGUAGAGGGUAGUGGAAUUCCCGGUGUAGCUGGUGAAAUGCGUAGAGAUCGGAAGGAACACCAGUGGCGAAGGCGGCUACCUGGACCAGCACUGACACUGAGGCACGAAAGCGUGGGGAGCAAACAGG